UCCUUGGUGGCUCAGAUGGUAAAGAAUCUGCCUGCAAUCCAGGAGACCCAGGUUUGAUCCCUGGGUCGGGGAG
rfam:Ovis aries breed Texel chromosome 3, whole genome shotgun sequence.